rnacentral:rRNA from 1 species
AGAACGAACGCUGGCGGCAGGCCUCAAACAUGCAAGUCUAGGGGGUGUAGCAAUACAUCACCGGCGGACGGGUGCGUAACACGUGGGAAUAUACCUUUUGGUUCGGAACAACGCAGGGAAACUUGCGCUAAUACCGAAUGUGCCCUUACGGGGAAAGAUUUAUCGCCAAAGGAUUAGCCCGCGUAGGAUUAGCUAGUUGGUGAGGUAAUGGCUCACCAAGGCUCCGAUCCUUAGCUGUUCUGAGAGGAAGAUCAGCCACACUGGGACUGAGACACGGCCCAGACUCCUACGGGAGGCAGCAGUUGGGAAUCUUGGACAAUGGGGGAAACCCUGAUCCAGCCAUGCCGCGUGAGUGAUGAAGGUCUUCGGGUUGUAAAACUCUUUCGACGGGGACAUAAUGACGGUACCCGUAGAAGAAGCUCCGGCUAACUUCGUGCCAGCAGCCGC